AGAAGAAGAAGAAGAAGGAACUCCUGCCAAUUGUAACUACAUGAAUCAAUUUGGAGGGCAACAUGCUAAGUGAAUAAAAAGAGCCAAAGACGAUAAUGCACGAUAUCAUUUAUAUGCAAAAUUUCACAAAAAAAAAAAAAAAGUGGAACUCACAGAGUAGGAAAGUGGUUGCCAGGGGCUAGGGGAUGGAGGCAACAGGGAGAGGUUCUGAGGAUGUAUGUAUAAUACCAUGAGCAUAAUUGAUAGCACUGUGUCAUGCAGUUAAAUGUGCUGGGAUCCAAUUUAAAUGCUCUCAACAAAACAAAACAAAACCCAGCAAGGUAAAUUAAAAAAACAAAAACAAAAACAAAACAAACAAAAAAAAAAACACUGUUAGACCAAGUUUGAUGAAAUCUGGUCUGUAACCAUCUUCUUUUCCUUCAUUUAAAAAGGAACAGGACAAGCCCAGAGAACCCGCGCUCCUCCUCCGUGCAGGGCGGCAAAAGCGCCCCAGCGGCCCGGAGCCACAUGACCUGGCCCCGCGCCCCCGCCUGCCCCGCAGGGCCCGCUCCCCCCGCACACGCUGGGUCCUCAUCUGGAGCCCCCUCGCUUGCCCACUUCUCGGACCCCGCGUGACCCCGCACCUGUCGGUCCCCCACCUCCCGGACCCCCGCGUGGCCCCGCGUCCUCACCUGUCGGUCCCCCAUCUCCCACCUCUGGGACCCCCGCGUGCCCCCGCACCCGCACCUGUCGGUCCCCCAUCUCCGGGACCCCCGCGUCCUCACCUGUCGGUCCCCCAUCUCCCACCUCCCGGACCCCCGCGUGCCCCCGCGCCCUCACCUGUCGGUCCCCCACCUCCCACCUCCGGGACCCCCGCGCCCGGUCCCCCCGCGGCCGCCCCUCCCGGGCUCACCGUGCGCCCCGCGCUGCCCGCGCUCCCCGCGCCCCCCCGGCCCGGCGGGCUGCAGCCGCAGUGAGCUCACAGCCGCAUCGCGGCGACACGGGGAGGCGCGCGGCCGGUCGUCGCCGGCGCCGGGUCCAGGCCGAGGGCGGCUGCCCCUCCGCUCGGCAUUGAGGAGGCGGGAGGAGGGGCGCGGCGAGGCGCACGGGAAAUCUGAUAGAGCAAUGAAAGUCCCUGAAAAAUGGAUGACACUCUGGUCCGUGAAGCCCAGAGUUUGUUUGGCCCAGGACAUUCGAGAAGUGUUGGAAACUGGCAUGCCGUGUGGUGCAGCGGGCCACAGGGAUGACGGGACUCUAGCAAAGAGGCUCAGACAGCCUACCUCUAACACCGGAUCCAGAAUCAUCUUCACACGGAAAGGAGGUAACGUGCAGGUCAGGGAGACAUAG
rnacentral:lncRNA from 12 species